rnacentral:tRNA from 1 species
GAGGGUGUAGCUCAGGUGGUAGAGCGCAUGCUUAGCAUGCACAAGGUCCUGGGUUCAAUCCCCAGUCCCUCCA